UAGGAAUAUUGGACAAUGGGCGAAAGCCUGAUCCAGCCAUGCCGCGUGUGUGAUGAAGGCCCUAGGGUUGUAAAGCACUUUCGUUGGGGAUGAUAAUGACCGUACCCAAAGAAGAAGCCACGGCUAAAUUCGUGCCAGCAGCCGCGGUAAUACGAAUGUGGCAAGCGUUGUUCGGAAUCACUGGGCGUAAAGAAUGCGUAGGCGGCUUAACAAGUCAGGAGUGAAAUCCCGGGGCUUAACCUCGGAACUGCUUCUGAAACUGUUUUGCUAGAGUCCCGGAGGGGUUAAUGGAAUUCCGAGUGUAGAGGUGAAAUUCGCAGAUAUUCGGAGGAACACCAGUGGCGAAGGCGAUUAACUGGACGGGAACUGACGCUGAGGCAUGAAAGUGUGGGGAUCAAAC
rnacentral:rRNA from 1 species